rnacentral:RNase_P_RNA from 1 species
GGCAGAGGGAGCCCGGCCCCCGUGCCCCGCGUGUCGAUACGCGGGCCAUGAGGAAAGUCCCCCCACCACCCGGGCAGGCGACCGGGCGCAAGCCCGGAGCGGGAGACCGCUGGCUCUGGAACAGAAACGAGACCCCUUCGUCCGACCGAUGCGGUGCGGGCGGUGACACCCCACCCCCGGCGCGAGCGGGCCUCGCCCGCGAGCGCGCGAACCCGAAUCGAGGGCGCUCCGACGCCGGCGUUCGGUAGCCGGCACCGAGGUCGCUCGAGAGGCGGGCGCUAACCCACCGAGGCAUGACGGCGGAGAACGGAUGGAACGGCGAACCCUCGCCGGUGUAAGUCCAUACGACAGGUAGCCCGGACACGGUGUGGACGCACAGCCGAAUGCCGGGCCGAACAGAAGGGGGCUUACUCCCCUCAGCC